GUGGGGAAUAUUGGUCAAUGGGCGGGAGCCUGAACCAGCCAAGUCGCGUGAAGGAAGAAGGAUCUAUGGUUCGUAAACUUCUUUUGCAGGGGAAUAAAGUGCAGGACGUGUCCUGUUUUGUAUGUACCCUGAGAAUAAGGAUCGGCUAACUCCGUGCCAGCAGCCGCGGUAAUACGGAGGAUCCGAGCGUUAUCCGGAUUUAUUGGGUUUAAAGGGUGCGUAGGUGGUUUGAUAAGUCAGCGGUGAAAGUUUGCAGCUUAACUGUAAAAAUGCCGUUGAAACUGUCGGACUUGAGUGUAAAUGAGGUAGGCGGAAUGCGUGGUGUAGCGGUGAAAUGCAUAGAUAUCACGCAGAACUCCGAUUGCGAAGGCAGCUUACUAAGCUACAACUGACACUGAAGCACGAAAGCGUGGGGAUCAAACAGGAUUAGAAACCCGAGUAGUCC
rnacentral:rRNA from 1 species